GAGUUUGAUCCUGGCUCAGGACGAACGCUGGCGGCGCGCCUAACACAUGCAAGUCGAACGAGCGAGAGAGAGCUUGCUUUCUCGAGCGAGUGGCGAACGGGUGAGUAACGCGUGAGGAACCUGCCUCAAAGAGGGGGACAACAGUUGGAAACGACUGCUAAUACCGCAUAAGCCCACGGCUCGGCAUCGAGCAGAGGGAAAAGGAGCAAUCCGCUUUGAGAUGGCCUCGCGUCCGAUUAGCUGGUUGGUGAGGUAACGGCCCACCAAGACUACGAUCGGUAGCCGGACUGAGAGGUUGAUCGGCCACAUUGGGACUGAGACACGGCCCAGACUCCUACGGGAGGCAGCAGUGGGGGAUAUUGCGCAAUGGGGGAAACCCUGACGCAGCAACGCCGCGUGAAGGAAGAAGGUCUUCGGAUUGUAAACUUCUUUUGUCAGGGACGAAGAAAGUGACGGUACCUGACGAAUAAGCUCCGGCUAACUACGUGCCAGCCGCCGCGGUAAUAC
rnacentral:rRNA from 1 species